rnacentral:rRNA from 1 species
UAGUGGCGAACGGGUGAGUAACACGUGGGCAAUCUGCCCUUCACUCUGGGACAAGCCCUGGAAACGGGGUCUAAUACCGGAUACGACCUCCGACCGCAUGGUCUGGUGGUGGAAAGCUCCGGCGGUGAAGGAUGAGCCCGCGGCCUAUCAGCUUGUUGGUGGGGUGAUGGCCUACCAAGGCGACGACGGGUAGCCGGCCUGAGAGGGCGACCGGCCACACUGGGACUGAGACACGGCCCAGACUCCUACGGGAGGCAGCAGUGGGGAAUAUUGCACAAUGGGCGAAAGCCUGAUGCAGCGACGCCGCGUGAGGGAUGACGGCCUUCGGGUUGUAAACCUCUUUCAGCAGGGAAGAAGCGAGAGUGACGGUACCUGCAGAAGAAGCGCCGGCUAACUACGUGCCAGCAGCCGCGGUAAUACGUAGGGCGCAAGCGUUGUCCGGAAUUAUUGGGCGUAAAGAGCUCGUAGGCGGCUUGUCACGUCGGAUGUGAAAGCCCGGGGCUUAACCCCGGGUCUGCAUUCGAUACGGGCAGGCUAGAGUUCGGUAGGGGAGAUCGGAAUUCCU